CCUACGGGAGGCUGCAGUGGGGAAUAUUGCACAAUGGGGGAAACCCUGAUGCAGCGACGCCGCGUGAGUGAAGAAGUAUCUCGGUACGUAAAGCUCUAUCAGCAGGGAAGAAAAUGACGGUACCUGACUAAGAAGCCCCGGCUAACUACGUGCCAGCAGCCGCGGUAAUACGGAGGGGGCAAGCGUUGUCCGGAUUCACUGGGUGUAAAGGGAGCGUAGACGGCAGCUCAAGUCUGGAGUGAAAGCCCGGGGCUUAACCCCGGAACUGCAUUGGAUACUGUGCGACUGGAGUGCAGGAGGGGUAAGCGGAAUUCCUGGUGUAGCGGUGAAAUGCGUAGAUAUUAGGAGGAACACCGGUGGCGAAGGCGGCUUACUGGACUGUAACUGACGUUGAGGCACGAAAGCGAGGGGAGCAAACGGGAUUAGAUACCCGGGUAGUC
rnacentral:rRNA from 1 species